rnacentral:rRNA from 1 species
GCUCCUUUGACGUUAGCGGCGGACGGGUGAGUAACACGUGGAUAACCUACCUAUAAGACUGGGAUAACUUCGGGAAACCGGAGCUAAUACCGGAUAACAUAUUGAACCGCAUGGUUCAAUAGUGAAAGGCGGCUUUGCUGUCACUUAUAGAUGGAUCCGCGCCGUAUUAGCUAGUUGGUAAGGUAACGGCUUACCAAGGCAACGAUACGUAGCCGACCUGAGAGGGUGAUCGGCCACACUGGAACUGAGACACGGUCCAGACUCCUACGGGAGGCAGCAGUAGGGAAUCUUCCGCAAUGGGCGAAAGCCUGACGGAGCAACGCCGCGUGAGUGAUGAAGGUCUUCGGAUCGUAAAACUCUGUUAUCAGGGAAGAACAAAUGUGUAAGUAACUGUGCACAUCUUGACGGUACCUGUACAGAAACCUCGGC